rnacentral:rRNA from 1 species
GUGAAAUGACUUAUGAGGUGUAGUAUAAGUGGGAGCUUCGGCGCACCUGAAAUACCACUACUCGUAAUGUUGUUUUACUUAUCUCAUGACGAUACACCCAGCCGUCUUCACGGGCGCCUGGUUCUAGAAUUAAGUCUACUUGUUAGGCGAGUAUCGUGGGAGACAACGUCAGGUGGGGAGUUUGGCUGGGGCGGCACAUCUGU